rnacentral:lncRNA from 1 species
CCUCAAUCGUCUAGUCUAGAUCACAAUCACAACACAGAACCAAGAGCGACCACCUGUGUUGGAUGACCAUGGCAAAGUAUGCACAUAUGUCUUUCAUCAUUAUGGUCCUUGUUCUACGCGCCAGCUUCCAAGCCCAAGGUAUGAAACGCACCUCUGGUCACUAAAUUUAAGUACACUGGACAAAAUAGUUACAGAAAGCGACUCAUUUGGCGACCUCAGCGCCUGGGCUCCCGCCGUCGAUCUCGUCGGGUCCCCUCACUUCCAUCGCCCUCGUCGGCGUCGUGAGGUGAGGGGCCCCAGAUCCAUGGGUGGGCUGUGUAUACAGCGUAGUUUGGUGGUUCUGUAGCUAGGCUUUUGCUGUCGGGGUGGGCUCCUCGGCAUUGCGCUUGGCUCCGGCCGGGCGGCGAGGGUGGCGGAGACGCCCGCGAAUUGGUGUGCUUCGGGUGCUGCAUUGUCUCGUCGGCCUCGUCCAUGGUGGUGGCUUCAGGUCAGCUGCUUGUGUGUGCUCCAAAUCGAGCGCUUGAUCUGGUUGGGCGCUCGCCGGCGUCAUCCUUGGCUCUGGCUCGGGAGGAGCUCGGGGCGGGCUCCGUCGUCGGUUGCGGCCACAGCUCAGAAGCGUUUUUGCGGGGACGGCGCUUGGUGGGAGGCUGCGUCUCGUCGGCGUUUUGUUUUUGCGGGGCUCGAUCCACCUCGAGCCCGUCUUCUGGGACGGGAUCGAUGGGCCAUCGGCGUGGAUUCCAAAAUUUGCACGAUACUGAAAGUUCACUUACACGAUACUGAAACAAAUAUAACAAUCAUCCAUUGCAUGAUGAUAUAUUUAGUGAAUAUGCUCUCACAUGAAACAAAAUGAAAAUUUUAUUGUCUAUCUUUUUUAUGGAUGAUCUCAUAGAACGUUAGUAAAGUUUUUUUGUAAUCAUAAAUAAAUACUUGAUAUGCAGGACAACUAGGACCGACGGACACACACAACAUCACCGAGUACAUCCCAUUGGAGUUCACAAAGACUUUUUUCCAGACCCACGGAAUACAUCCCUCCGAUACAUCGAUUGCGUUUAAAAGGUGUAGGUCGUGCCCCUGCUGCCCAAAGGAUCCCAAGAAACCAUGUAUUGAAGCACCAAGCUGUUGCUAUCAGAUAAACUGCAAUGAUCCUGGGCAACCACUUGGUACUUGUACUGAACGCGCGUUCUCCUGUAAUUGUGACAAUAGUUGCAAGUGAUCAAGUGUUUCCCUUAAAAAACUGUUUUUGUUUUCCCGCAAAAAAAAAACUGUUUUUCGUUAGCUAUGAAGAAGCAAGAU